AGUUAUCGUUUAUUUGAUAGUACCUUACUACUUGGAUAACCGUGGUAAUUCUAGAGCUAAUACAUGCUGAAAACCCCGACUUCGGAAGGGGUGUAUUUAUUAGAUAAAAAACCAACGCCCUUCGGGGCUUCUUGGUGAUUCAUAAUAACUUUACGGAUCGCAUGGCCUUGCGCCGGCGACGGUUCAUUCAAAUUUCUGCCCUAUCAACUUUCGAUGGUAAGGUAUUGGCUUACCAUGGUUUCAACGGGUAACGGGGAAUUAGGGUUCGAUUCCGGAGAGGGAGCCUGAGAAACGGCUACCACAUCCAAGGAAGGCAGCAGGCGCGCAAAUUACCCAAUCCCGACACGGGGAGGUAGUGACAAUAAAUACUGAUACAGGGCUCUUUUGGGUCUUGUAAUUGGAAUGAGUACAAUUUAAACCUCUUAACGAGGAACAAUUGGAGGGCAAGUCUGGUGCCAGCAGCCGCGGUAAUUCCAGCUCCAAUAGCGUAUAUUAAAGUUGUUGCAGUUAAAAAGCUCGUAGUUGAAACUUGGGUCUGGCUGGCAGGUCCGCCUCACCGCGUGUACUUGUCCGGCCGGGCCUUCCUUCUGGAGAACCUCAUGCCCUUCACUGGGCGUGUUGGGGACCAGGACUUUUACUUUGAAAAAAUUAGAGUGUUCAAAGCAGGCCUUUGCUCGAAUACGUUAGCAUGGAAUAAUAGAAUAGGACGUGCGUUCCUAUUUUGUUGGUUUCUAGGAACGCCGUAAUGAUUAAUAGGGACAGUCGGGGGCAUCAGUAUUCAAUUGUCAGAGGUGAAAUUCUUGGAUUUAUUGAAGACUAACUACUGCGAAAGCAUUUGCCAAGGAUGUUUUCAUUAAUCAGUGAACGAAAGUUAGGGGAUCGAAGACGAUCAGAUACCGUCGUAGUCUUAACCGUAAACUAUGCCGACUAGGGAUCGGGCGAUGUUCUUUUUCUGACUCGCUCGGCACCUUACGAGAAAUCAA
rnacentral:rRNA from 1 species